GCGGAUGGGUGUACGAGCAAGGUAAUUUAGAAGCCUUUCUUUUAACUGCAGUUAACCUUCCUAGUUUCAUGUCCUGAUGGAAGUGGCAUAAUUCUCUCCUGAAAAUUGAAAACCAGUUCACAGGGUCUCGGUCCGGGUCAAAUUAUUUCUCCCAACUUCCAGGAGUGUAAUUUUUGUUGAUCUGAAAAAGUUAGGAUGUUACUAGCGGACAAUGAAUUAGCUGUUGUAGACAACUCCUGCAGAAAUUUCAAACUUCUGAAUGCAUUAUAAUGUGAAGAUACAUCGAGUUCUCCUUAAUUUUAUUCAUUUAUUAUUAUUAUUAUCCAGUGGCAUUGCAAGGCCAAUUGAUAUUCAUUGUUAUGUGGCAGGUAUGUUGACACCUUCAACCAA
rnacentral:misc_RNA from 1 species